AACCAGCACCCCGAGUGGUCGGGACGAUUAUUGGGCCUAAAGCAUCCGUAGCCGGUUUUACAAGUCCUCCGUUAAAUCCAGCUGCUUAACAGAUGGGCUGCGGAGGAUACUAUAAGACUAGGAGGCAGGAGAGGCAAGCGGUACUCAGUGGGUAGGGGUAAGAUCCGUUGAUCCAUUGAAGACCACCAGUGGCGAAGGCGGCUUGCCAGAAUGCGCUCGACGGUGAGGGAUGAAAGCUGGGGGAGCAAACCGG
rnacentral:rRNA from 1 species